rnacentral:pre_miRNA from 2 species
AUAUUACUCCCUCUGUCUGGAAAUACUUAUCGGAGGAAUGGAUGUAUCUAGAUGCAUUUUAGUUCUAGAUACAUCCAUUUUUACUCAUUUUUGCGACAAGUAAUUCCGGACGGAGGGAGUAUAUG